CAAAUCCAGCUGUUUAACUAUGGUAGCUGCUCCACUGCUCCAUAUAUUGGAAGAGCUCAAAAGGUGAAAAAAAAAUAAACACCUCAAAAAUCAAACACUGUUAAAAUGGUAGAACUGGUCUGGGAUCAAGGUAGCUAGAACAAGUAGCUAUACAUCAACAUAGACUAGAAAUGAUGCUUGUUACUUCAGGCUCUAUUCAGUGGCUCCAUGUCUUUCUUGGACUGGGAAGCCCAGAAGUGAGCACAGUGCUCCAGAUGCAGUCCUACUAAUGCAGAGAGGAAUGAUCACCUCCCUUGACUUGCUGGCAACACAGUACAAUAUAUACAUACUUUAUACAGUACUGAAACAAGAUGGCAAAACAGACUGCAGUGCAAUUUCUGAUUGCACACACAGCAAAUAAUAACUAUGCCUCUUUUCUAGGAACAACUGUCAACAUCUCAUUCCAUUUGCAAGAAGAAGAUAAACUUCUAAGUUGCUAACACAGCUUCUUCUCUUCAAAUGAACUCUAAAGGAAAAUUAAGAAUGCUGAAUAAGCUGCUUUUCCUCUCAAGUAAAAUCUCAUAUUUCCAAAUCCUUUCUCUUCAAAAUAAGAACAAAAACCUAGAAAUUCUGGUCUAGUGGUUAGGAUUCGGCACUCUCACCGCCGCGGCCCGGCUUCGAUUCCCGGUGAGGGAACCAUUUCCACCCCUUAUUCCAUAUCACUACAUCAUGUCAAUAUACAUAUGCAAACAAACAAUAAUUAAC